rnacentral:lncRNA from 1 species
AACGGAUCUGCGGAUGACGAAAAAAUUGAAAAUAAUAGUAAUAAUAGUUGGUAAUAGAGUAAUAUAUUACAGCAACAACGCAGGCAGCGACAACGGUGCGAUAAUCCUGUAAUGGGAAUAACCUACGUUUGUUUGCCCGCGACGGGGUGCGGUCGAAACCGUUUCGAAUAAAAACCGAAAGUAAUAUGAUAAUAAUGUGUCUUCGAUCGAACCAGUCGAGAAUACGAAACGGUUGUGAAGAGAAGAGGGUGGUAUCGCGGAGUACGUUCAACUCGCGCGAAAAACGUCUUGCUCUCCGCUCUCCUAACCUAACCGGUUUCGUUGGCGAUGCGAUGACGAUGGCGGAAGGAGAAAAAAACCGCACGUAUCCUUGCACCGAUCGGCGUACUCGUUGUCGCAAUAAUAUAUUAUUUAUAUCGUCGUCGUCAUCGCACCGAAUUCGUCAUCAUCAUAUAUAUAUAUAUAUAAUUAUAACUGUCCUGCCGAGCGUGAGCCUACUCCGCGCCUCCGCCACCACUCCGACGACCGUACACCGCCGCGGAAUCUGGGACGCGCCGGGUUCAACAAACGGUUACCGGUUGACUGUGAACAUAUUUUUUUAUUAUUAUUAUUAUUUAUUUUUUUUCCUGUUGUUGUUUCUACUCUCCCGGGAACCGGUUCUGUCGUUUUGUUGCCACAGCUUUCGCGCGCCUCACACACAACGUGGCGGACACGACGUCGGCAGCGGCAGCGCGUACCUACUGUUUAAAAUAAUGUACUUGGAUGUGUGCACAGCUGCUGCGGACGGUGCAAGGUGUACGCGCGCGCAUCCAUCGGAUUCGGUUGAGUCAUAUUUUAUCCCCUUCUUCCGUCCGGCGUUCCCCCUGACAAACCCUCCACUCCACCGUUAACGCAGACCGCGUCGCGACAACGCGUCGUUCACGUGCGUACACGUGCCCCCUACAAGUGUGCCGGGAGGACGUGACGAACGCCGCCGCGGUGGUAAGAAACACGGAACACCCGUCGAUUGUUUUCGCGCCGGGUUCACGCAUUGGCGCCAACGUUGGUGUCAAUAGUGUUCGUCCAACACGUGCGGAUCAGCAUUAAACAGCAUUGGAACCGUCAUUGGUCUCAAUGUUGGAACUUUUAGCUCGACUGUCGGUUUUUUGACGGAACAUCGAAAAGGUUGCGCCAUCCACACAUUUGCCGGCGUUGGUUCCAACGCCGUCAACAUAUACUAUACGAUUUCAUACGAAAUCAUAUCAUUUAUAUAAUUUAUCUUUACAUUAUCCCGACUAUAGCCAUGAUUAUUAUUACCACUGUUAUCAAUUAUUAUUAUUUAAUGCGAUACAAGACUUCCGUCUAUAGUCAUUGGCAUUGACUGUUUGUUUACCACUACGGUCGUGAACGUGCGCACGUACUAAUUCACAUGAUUAAAAUCGCAAAAUUACUCAAGUUAAAGAACGACAGGAGCCAUGGUCUAAUAAAAAUUGCUUGAACUUUUGGAGCUUUAUCAAGCACAAGUACAUUUGUGGAAACCUUUAACGAGGGACCAUGAGAACAGAAAUGUCGUUACAGAUGCGUGGCAACGCAUACAACAAAAGUUUUCCAUGAAAUGCACUAUACUAGAAUUAAAAAAAAAAAAAAAAACUAGAAUAUUUAAUGUCAACACAUCGAUUAUACUAAAAGAAAAAAAAAACAAAAUAAUCCAUCCGUUCUGGUUCAUCGACUAAUGAAAUUUUUCCUUUGCCUAUGAGUUAAUGGACAGUUUCCUGGGACAAUUUUAUAACAAAAAGGAUACAAUAAACACCGAGAUCUGUGAAGAGUUAUAAUCAGGGUUCAUAACUUCUACCAUUAGGCGGUUGAUUAUGGGUACGCAUAGCAAUACCUGAAUUUUUAUUUCAGAUUAUUAUUUAUAAAGGAUAUACAUUAAAUAAAAACUAAGCUCAGUUUAUAAUAACAAAUAUUGUCUGCAUUGACAUUAACACCGUGGCGUGUAUAGUCUGUACCAUACUACCAUGAGGAUGUAGGCUGUUGUAGACCACGGUUAUCUACGAGUGUCGAGUAAAUUUUAUGAUCUAAAGUAAUGUUUCUUAAACUGUGCUUCGAAGAACUCUGGGGUUCCACGGAUAUCAACUAAGAAUUCCGCGAAAUUCAAGUGCUUUUACCAUAGUAUUAAAAAAAUUAAUUUGAAAAAAUCCUACUAAAAAUCAGAAGUGGCUAGUGGAAAAUAGUAGUGUUAGUAUGAACAUUUAUAAAAUAUUAUUUUAUAAUAUUACAUAAUAGUCAUAAUUACGGUAUGCACAAUAAAUAAUAAU